GUCCUGGAUAGCUCAGUUGGUUAGAGUAUGGUGCUGAUAACCCCAAGGUUGCAGGUUCAAUCGCCGUAAGGGACA